UGUCGUUGUCCUCCAGUAGGGGUUUCUCUCUGAGGAAGACUGACGACGACCCCCGACCUUCCAUGCCGCCCCAGAACCACCACAGCACUCAGCAGCUUUACAGAGAGAGCAGCAGGUCAUAGAGCCCCACGGUAGCCGACGCGAUGACCCCCGACCUUCCACACCACCCCAGACCCACCACAGGACUCAGCAGGUCCUGGCUGAGGUGUGUUCGUGGGACCUCGCCCCUGUUCCUGAGCAACACAAGAAGGUCUGUCACAGCCUGGCAGUGGUGUCUGGAGGAGUUGGACUCGAGUGUGAACCUGUUGGGUGAUGGACCCUGUUCGGCCUGCUGUCAGCCUGCCCACUACUGGGCAGCCUCUCCCUGCCGGCCUGCAGCCUCACAGCCUGCUACCAGUAGCCAUACAGCCUCAUACUGGCCAGCGCCUUUGCAGAUAAACAGCAACACUGCAUCGUACUGGCCAGUACCCUGGCAGGUAAACAGGCUCAUUGAUAACCUUUUUAAACUGAUAUACAAAUAUUAUUAGCAUUAGAUCAUUUAUAUAAAUGGUGAAAAGCACAGGAGCCAGAAUGGAACCUUGGGGGACACCUGUUUUCAACUCCACAUGGAUACAUUGCUAUCUGUUGAUGAGGUGGUUCUUGAAAUGUGACCUAAGAAUCAAAAUCAUGUCAUUGUCCUACAGGAACAGGGCACCUGAAGUCAGUGAAUCUGUCCCAUAACGCCCUGUGCUCUAUGGGCUUUGAGCUGGUCCUGAAGACUCUGCCUCUCCAAUGUCUCACUCAACUCGAUGUCUGCCAUCCGCUGUGGAACCACUGACCACCCUCCUUCAAAACAUCUCAAACACACACACACAAAUGCACACACCGACACACACACACACACAAAUUCAAAUAAAGUUAUUCUAUUGUGUACUUUCACAUUAAUUAAGCAUUGUUUGUCUAAAGAAAUGCAUAAACUAUCACAUGAUCUACAGUAAGUAUUUACUUAGUAGAGGAAAUUUGUCCAGGAAGGUACACGAUAAAGACUGCAAAUCUAAGAAAUGGAUCAGUAAAUUAUGAGGAGCUUUUAAUAGAAUUUGUUGAAACAAUUGGUUGCGUUUCUGGUCUGAGGCAGGCGCCUUGCAAGUUGAGUAAACAUUUCACAGUUUGAAAAGGAAGUUUGUCAUCCGCUUAUCUGCUGCACAACUUUGCCUUUGGUAUUCAAGCUAAGAAACGUAUUGAUAUGGUAAUUAGGAUACAAUGGUUGUAUCUUAAUUGUAUAUUUGACUUCAUGGGGAGCUAUGGCAAGAUGAUAUUUAGAGGAGCAAAUGUAGUUGUCACACCCUGAUCUGUUUCACCUGUCUUUGUGAUUGUCUCCAUUAUCCCCUGUGUAUUUUAUACCUGUGUUCUCUGUUGGUCUGUUGCCAGUUCGUCUUGUUUGUCAAGUCAACCAAUGUUUUUUUGUCUCAUGUCCUGCUUUUCCCAGUUUCUUUUUCUCGCCCUCCUGGUUUUGACCCUUGCUUGUCCUGUCUCUGAGCCCUCCUGCCUGACCACUCCACUUGACCCUGCCUGCCGUCCUAUACGUUUGCCCCACCUCUGGAUUAUUGACCUCUGCCUACCCUGACCCUGAGCCUGCCUGCCUGCCGUCCAGUACCGUUGCUCCACCUCUAGUUACUGACCCCUGCCUGCCUUUGACCUGUCUAUUGCCGGCCCCUGUUGGAUUAUUAAACCAUUGUUAAUUCGGCGUUGUCUGCAUCUGGGUCUUACCUUCAUACCUGAUAGUAGUGAUGGCUCCUCUGUAAGUAAGAUUCAUGUCAACUAGUAAUGUUUAAACUGAGAACUCAACACUGACAUAUUGGGUGAUAGUACUAUGUCUAACUGCCUGGUUAAGGGCAUACCAUGAGAUCUGGGAU
rnacentral:lncRNA from 1 species